ACGUGGAGAUUCCGAAAGUGGGUGGCCUUCGAGGUGGCUUCAGAGUAACCCUCCCUUAACCUGCGAAGCUCGCCUUCCAUCUUCUUCGACCUUUUUAUCACAUGAAGAACCUCCUUCUUCAGCCGCUGGAUCGUGGACUUCAGCAGGAUCCCCUGGGCAGAGGAAGUGCCUUGGCAGGACACUGCCAUCGAGAGACAGAGGCGUCAAGGCGCGUCUCAUUGCAGAAAGAAAAAUAAAAAGGGGGGAAGGGGGAGA
rnacentral:lncRNA from 1 species